rnacentral:rRNA from 1 species
UGCCAGCCGCCGCGGUAAUACGGAGGGAGCGAGCGUUAAUCGGAAUUACUGGGCGUAAAGCGCGCGUAGGCGGUUUUGUAAGUCGGAUGUGAAAGCCCUGGGCUCAACCUGGGAAUUGCAUUCGAUACUGCAGAACUAGAGUAUGGUAGAGGGAAGUGGAAUUUCCGGUGUAGCGGUGAAAUGCGUAGAUAUCGGAAGGAACACCAGUGGCGAAGGCGACUUCCUGGACUGAUAUUGACGCUGAGGUGCGAAAGCGUGGGGAGCAAACAGGAUUAGAUA